rnacentral:rRNA from 1 species
AUAAACGCUAGCGGCAGGCCUAACACAUGCAAGUCGAGGGGCAGCGGAAGAAGUAGCUUGCUACUUCUGCCGGCGACCGGCGCACGGGUGCGUAACGCGUAUGCAACCUACCUUUAACAGGGGGAUAAUCCGAAGAAAUUUGGUCUAAUACCCCAUAAUAUUUCAGAAGGCAUCUUUUGAGGUUGAAAACUCCGGUGGUUAAAGAUGGGCAUGCGUUGUAUUAGCUAGAUGGUGAGGUAACGGCUCACCAUUGCGAUGAUACAUAGGGGGACUGAGAGGUUUUCCCCCCACACUGGUACUGAGACACGGACCAGACUCCUACGGGAGGCAGCAGUGAGGAAUAUUGGUCAAUGGACGCAAGUCUGAACCAGCCAUGCCGCGUGCAGGAUGAAGGUGCUAUGCAUUGUAAACUGCUUUUGUACGAGGGUAAAUUCAGAUACGUGUAUCUGUUUGAAAGUAUCGUACGAAUAAGGAUCGGCUAACUCCGUGCCAGCAGCCGCGGUAAUACGGAGGAUCCGAGCGUUAUCCGGAUUUAUUGGGUUUAAAGGGUGCGUAGGCGGUUUGAUAAGUUAGAGGUGAAAGCUCGAUGCUCAACAUCGAAAUUGCCUCUGAUACUGUCAGACUAGAGUGUAGUUGCGGAAGGCGGAAUGUGUGGUGUAGCGGUGAAAUGCUUAGAUAUCACACAGAACACCGAUUGCGAAGGCAGCUUUCCAAGCUAUUACUGACGCUGAGGCACGAAAGCGUGGGUAGCGAACAGGAUUAGAUACCCUGGUAGUCCACGCCGUAAACGAUGAUAACUCGUUGCCGGCGAUAUAGUGUCGGUGACUAAGCGAAAGCGAUAAGUUAUCCACCUGGGGAGUACGUUCGCAAGAAUGAAACUCAAAGGAAUUGACGGGGGCCCGCACAAGCGGAGGAACAUGUGGUUUAAUUCGAUGAUACGCGAGGAACCUUACCCGGGCUUGAAAGUUAGCGACGGAUCCUGAAAGGGGUCUUCUCUUCGGAGCGCGAAACUAGGUGCUGCAUGGUUGUCGUCAGCUCGUGUCGUGAGAUGUUGGGUUAAGUCCCGCAACGAGCGCAACCCUUGUCUUUAGUUACUAACAUUCAGUUGAGGACUCUAGAGAGACUGCCGGUGACAAACCGGAGGAAGGUGGGGAUGACGUCAAAUCAUCAUGCCCCUUAUGACCUGGGCUACACACGUACUACAAUGGCGUUAAACAAAGAGAAGCAAGACCGCGAGGUGGAGCAAAACUCAGAAACAACGUCCCAGUUCGGACUGCAGGCUGCAACUCGCCUGCACGAAGUCGGAAUUGCUAGUAAUCGCAGAUCAGCAUGCUGCGGUGAAUACGUUCCCGGGCCUUGUACACACCGCCCGUCAAGCCAUGGGAGUUGGGGGUGCCUGAAGUACGUGACCGCAAGGAGCGUCCUAGGGCAAAACCGAUGACUGGGGCU